rnacentral:rRNA from 1 species
GAUGAACGCUGGCGGCGUGCUUAACACAUGCAAGUCGAACGAUGACCCGGUGCUUGCACCGGUGAUUAGUGGCGAACGGGUGAGUAACACGUGAGUAACCUGCCCUUAACUCUGGGAUAAGCCUGGGAAACUGGGUCUAAUACCGGAUAUGACUCCUCAUCGCAUGGUGGGGGGUGGAAAGCUUUAUUGUGGUUUUGGAUGGACUCGCGGCCUAUCAGCUUGUUGGUGAGGUAAUGGCUCACCAAGGCGACGACGGGUAGCCGGCCUGAGAGGGUGACCGGCCACACUGGGACUGAGACACGGCCCAGACUCCUACGGGAGGCAGCAGUGGGGAAUAUUGCACAAUGGGCGCAAGCCUGAUGCAGCGACGCCGCGUGAGGGAUGACGGCCUUCGGGUUGUAAACCUCUUUCAGUAGGGAAGAAGCGAAAGUGACGGUACCUGCAGAAGAAGCGCCGGCUAACUACGUGC